AUCCACCUGACGAGUCCCAAAUAGGACGAAAUGCGCAUCCUGGAU
rnacentral:hammerhead_ribozyme from 1 species